CUCCCCUUCUCGUACCCUUCAGGCCUCCGAGGGAGGGUCAGCUCUGCCGGCUCAAGUUACAAGAACUUGAAGACAGGAAGAUUUAGCGAGGGAGCCGCGGCCAAGCACAGUGCGCUGUUUGUCCGCCUUUGAAACCAGAGGCUGCGAGGCGGGGGCCGGCGCCCCCUCCCCACAGCCCCGGCGAGUUCCUGGACGGGCGCGCGCAAGCACAGCGACCCCUACCGGCUCCUCCACUCUCCCCAGCCACCUCCUCCAGGAAGCUCGCUCGGGCUUCCGGGACCUGGAAGAGUCCUGUAGAGACUGUCUGAGAGAUGCUUUUGGCCUCCCAGACAUUUUGUCCUUGGGUCCUCACUAAUACAUCACGAGGUCUCUUCACUUGAACCAGUUGGGGGUAAACUUCGUUUCCCGUCGUGACCCUGCCUGAUACAGCACCUUCUGCCCAGGCCACAAAACAAGCCAUGGCCAGCGGGAGGCCAAGGGACAAGAGAGAGAUUGCCAGAGGGCAGAAACACACAGGACAAAAUGGGGCAGAGAAGCAGAAACAGGGAGAGAUUAAAAAGGCAAAGGCUGGCCGGGCGCUGUGGCUCAUGCCUGUAAUCUCAACAUUUUGGGAGGCCUGAAGGAGGUGGAUCACUUGAGCCCAAGAGUUUGAGAUCAGCCUGGGCAACAUAGCAAGACCCCGUCUCUGCAAAAAAAAAUUAAAAAAUUUAGCUAGGCAUGAUGGUUCACCCCUCUGAUUGCCUGAUUGCUUAAGUUCCAGGCUGCAGUGAGCUGCGAUUGCACCAUUGUACUCUGGCCUGGGCAACAGAGCCAGAUCCUGUC
rnacentral:lncRNA from 1 species